GCAUUAAUGGGGUAGUGGUAACCUGGGUCGUUGCCAUAUACAUACAGUGUGCAGUAUUCCUUCGACCCGCCGGGGGUUCGAUUCCCCCUUAAUGCA